rnacentral:rRNA from 1 species
AGGACGAACGCUGGCGGCGUGCUUAACACAUGCAAGUCGAGCGGUAAGGCCCUUUCGGGGGUACACGAGCGGCGAACGGGUGAGUAACACGUGGGUGACCUGCCCCCUACUCUGGGAUAAGCCUGGGAAACUGGGUCUAAUACCGGAUAUGACUCAAGGCCGCAUGGUUUUGGGUGGAAAGCUUUUGUGGUGGGGGAUGGGCCCGCGGCCUAUCAGCUUGUUGGUGGGGUGAUGGCCUACCAAGGCUUCGACGGGUA